rnacentral:rRNA from 1 species
AUGUUCAAUACCAUUAUUGAGAGCUUGGAUCUGAGGGAGAUAGAGCUUUCUGGUAGAAAGUUUACCUGGGCUAAUGCUUUGCCAAACCCGACAUAUGAAAAGCUUGAUCGAGUUCUCGCGAGCGUGGAGUGGGAACAGAAGUUCCCUCUUGUUACGGUACAAGCUCUCUCGCGGGGAAUAUCCGAUCACACACCACUGUUCGUGGACUUCGGGGAGCCGAACCAUGUGGAAAACAAAAACACCUUCUCAUUCGAGAUGGCCUGGUUCGAACGUGAGGGGUUCUUAGACCUCAUUGCCAGGGAAUGGGCUAAGGGUGUAGGAGGUAGGACGGCUGUCGAGCGUUGGCAGAAUAAGAUUAGGCAUUUGAGAAGUUUCUUACGGGGUUGGGCUAAGCACCUCAGUGGGGUGUAUAAGAUUAAGAAGGAUAGGCUCCUUUCUCUUAUACAGGCCCUGGACAUAAAAGCUGAAUCCGCGAUUCUGCUGCCUGCUGAGCUCCAGGUUAAAACUGAGGCGGAGAAGAGGUUGAAAGAACUUCUCCGCGAAGAAGAGUUGAAGUGGGCGUUGCGAGCUAAGGUUUGCAAAGUGGUUCAAGGGGACGCCAAUACUCAAUUCUUUCACCUGAUUGCCAAUGAUAAGCACAGAAAGAAGCGUAUCUUCCAACUUGAACAAGAUGAGGGUACUAUUGUUGGGCAGGAUAAUCUCAAAACAUAUAUUACCGAGUAUUAUAGGCAGUUAUUUGGACCUCCGGAGGUUAAUUGUGUGACCUUCGAUGAGUCUAGGACUAAGGAUGUACCUCAAUUGUCUGCUGCCGAUAAUGAUAUCUUCCUCGCCCCGUUUUCGGAGAAGGAGGUGUUUGAUGCUAUUGCACAAAUGAAAAACAAUAAGGCUCCCGGACCGGAUGGGUUCCCGGCCGAGUUAUAUAAAAAGUGCUGGCACAUUAUUAAGGGGGAUUUGUUACCUAUGUUUCAGGAUCUUUUCUCUGGACAACUUCAAUUAUUUCACUUGAAUUUUGGAACUAUCACAUUGCUCCCUAAGAAAACGGAGGCUGUGAGAAUUGAGCAGUUCAGGCCGAUUUGCCUCCUCAAUGUUAGUUUCAAAAUCUUCACCAAGGUCGGGACUAAUAGGCUCUCAUAG